UGGUGUUCUAAUGCUUCUACCUGUAAGUCCAGACAUAGCAUUUCAUCAUCAAUGUAUGAUGUAUCACUGUAGUUAUCAUGAUAUGUAUGUUUACAUUAAAUCCACGCAGCUGCUUUGCUUCACAACUUCUCAUUUCAAGGUUGACAUGGUUUACCACUUACAAUUAAAAUGAAAAGGACCAUGGUUUUUUCCCAUAUUUUCUGGAUUAUCUUUGGUAAGUCAGUUGGCUGUAGGAACAAGUGGGUCAUGAAGAAAUUCAUGAAUCCAGAAACUGCGAUGCUUUCUUAUUCUAUUUAAUUUCCACUGUAAUGGAUCUAUUCUCUCUUUACAAACAGGGAAACAAAAACGGCAGAUAUCAAAAUGCUAAUUUUCUCAAAUUCUCAUUUUUUUAUUAUCUAUGCCUCUGCUGUCUUCCUGUGUGUGCACGCAUAUGAAGCACCGACACACUUCUAAGGAGGGGCAUGCAUUAUGAAAUGUUGAACACAUGCCUAACAACCCUGCAACACGUCAGACAGUUAGGCACGUGUCUGACACUUUUUUCUGUGUCAGAUGAACAGACAUAGUGUCAACUUUAAAAUAUGUUUAUGGUGCAUUUUGGUAACCUAAAAAAAUUGCUCCACUAAAAUUAAAACAGAUUAAACAUUUCAUUGUGAAUUAGAGAGCAAUAAACUUGUUGAUGGAUGGUUUUAGUUUUGGCAUUAGUGUUAAAUGUUUCCUUACAUGUUAUGUUGGACUUUCUUUCUUUUUUUGUGAGGAUAGACAUUUUAUUUAUUUAUUUUUGUUAUGGGUAUACUUUUCAUUGUUCUUUUUGUCUACUGCUGGCUGGAAAAAGACACAAAUCAUUUGUAUUGACAUUUUUAAAGGGGAUGGGAUGUUACGAUCCCAUUGCAAGAUAAUUUGUGUUCCACAUUGAAAGUAUGGGAUUUCA
rnacentral:misc_RNA from 1 species